rnacentral:rRNA from 1 species
GACGUAGGUGGCGAACGUUAUCCGGAAUUAUUGGGCGUAAAGGGUGCGUAGGCGGUUGUUUAAGUUUGGUGUGAAAUCUCCCGGCUCAACUGGGAGGGUGCGCCGAAUACUGAAUGACUAGAGUGCGGGAGAGGAUAGUGGAAUUCCUGGUGUAGCGGUGAAAUGCGUAGAUAUCAGGAGGAACACCGGUGGUGUAGACGGCUAUCUGGACCGUAACUGACGCUGAGGCACGAAAGCGUGGGUAGCAAACAGG